GGAAGUAAAAGCCGUAACAAGGUUUCCGUUGGUGAACCAGCGGAAGGAUCAUUACAGAGAUCGUGCCCUUCGGGGUAGACCUCCCACCCUGUGUUAUUUACGUAUGUUGCUUUGGCGGGCCGCCUCCGGGCUCUCGGCUUCGGCCGAGGUGUGCCCGCCAGAGAACCCACAACCCUGUGUUUAGUGUCGUCUGAGUAUUAUCAAAUAAGUUAAAACUUUCAACAACGGAUCUCUUGGUUCUG
rnacentral:misc_RNA from 1 species